rnacentral:rRNA from 1 species
CCAGUGACAAACUGGAGGAAGGCGGGGACGGCGUCAAGUCAUCAUGGCCCUUACGACCAGGGCUACACACGUGCUACAAUGGUAGGUACAGAGGGCAGCUACACAGCGAUGUGAUGCGAAUCUCAAAAAGCCUAUCGUAGUCCAGAUUGGAGUCUGCAACUCGACUCCAUGAAGUAGGAAUCGCUAGUAAUCGCGGAUCAGAAUGCCGCGGUGAAUACGUUCCCGGGCCUUGUACACACCGCCCGCCGUCGACGCCUUCCUCCAGUUUGUCACUGG